UACGAAGGGAGCUAGCGUUGUUCGGAAUCAUUGGGCGUAAAGAGCUCGUAGGCGGUUCGAUAAGUCGGGUGUGAAACCUCCAGGCUCAACCUGGAGACGCCACCCGAUACUGUCGUGACUAGAGUCCAGUAGGGGAGCGUGGAAUUCCUGGUGUAGCGGUGAAAUGCGCAGAUAUCAGGAGGAACACCAAUGGCGAAGGCAGCUCGCUGGGACGGUACUGACGCUGAGACGCGAAAGCGUGGGGAGCAAACAGG
rnacentral:rRNA from 1 species